CCUACGGGUGGCAGCAGUGGGGAAUAUUGGGCAAUGGGCGCAAGCCUGACCCAGCAACGCCGCGUGAAGGAAGAAGGCUUUCGGGUUGUAAACUUCUUUUCUGAGGGACGAAGAAAGUGACGGUACCUCAGGAAUAAGCCACGGCUAACUACGUGCCAGCAGCCGCGGUAAUACGUAGGUGGCAAGCGUUAUCCGGAUUUAUUGGGUGUAAAGGGCGUGUAGGCGGGAGUGCAAGUCAGAUGUGAAAACUAUGGGCUCAACCCAUAGCCUGCAUUUGAAACUGUACUUCUUGAGUGCUGGAGAGGCAAUCGGAAUUCCGUGUGUAGCGGUGAAAUGCGUAGAUAUACGGAGGAACACCAGUGGCGAAGGCGGAUUGCUGGACAGUAACUGACGCUGAGGCGCGAAAGCGUGGGGAGCAAACAGGAUUAGAUACCCCUGUAGUC
rnacentral:rRNA from 1 species